CCGAGGUGUCGCUGUACAGAGAGAUAAAUAUAAAUAUGUGCAGUAUAAAUAACUAAACAUACAUCACAUCAGUGAAUUAAGGUCAGACUGUGUUUCAGCAGCUAACGAUUCAGAUAACAGCUCGUUGUUUACCGUGUUGCGACGCUGGAAUGCUCUGGAUGACGGAGUACGUGAGCUCUUGGUUUGAUCCAACUGGAAAUUAAAAAACAUUAAUUCAACACACAUUUAUGUAAAUUAACUUUUUCGUUGGCCACAUCCAGUUGAUUUCUGCCAUCUGAUACCAACUACUUCAUGUUUCAGGAGUGUUUUUAAAAUCAAAACUACAUAAUUGACUUUCUGGCCACACAGUAUUUAAAUUCAGGGAUAUUUUUUUUCUUCUCAUUUCUCACCCUGUGCUGAUUCAAACACAGGGAUAUCUGAUGUCUCAGCAUAGACGACCUCGUCCGUUUGUUCUCCUCUUCCUUCUGAACAAAAACAUGAAUGUGACAAGAUUAUUAAUUCAGUGCACAGUGAUCGAAAGCUGAUCACAGAAUUAGUGUCAAAUAACAACUAAAACAUGGCGAUAUGCAGUCGUUUCAACCAGAGAUGUUAUUUCUACAACCACUGUGAUUAAAUCUACUAGAUGCUGCAGUUCUGUGACGUCCAUCGCUCACCUCGUCUUUUGAUGCUGCAUCUCCAAGUGACGAAGACGAUGAUGACCAUGAGGAGGAGGAGGGGGACGAGCACUGCAGGGACCAACACAGCAGCUGGAAGGGUCAGGAAUGUGUUUCUUCUCCCCGUCACCAUCAGCUGUAAAAAUGUCAACUCUGUGUCCGUUCGUCUCUCUGCUCCACGUCACUGCACCGUCCACAGAGUGAGGACAAGGCAGAGCGACUGACUGCUUCUCCUGGACUAUCACAUGUUUUAUUGCUGCAGGAGAAACACAAAUAGAAACAUAAAUACACAUCUGUGUCCAGACUGUCUGCAUUUUAAUGUUGCAACAAAC
rnacentral:lncRNA from 1 species